UACGAAGGGGGCUAGCGUUGCUCGGAAUCACUGGGCGUAAAGCGUGCGUAGACGGCUAUCUAAGUCGGGUGUGAAAGCCCCGGGCUCAACCUGGGAAUUGCAUUCGAGACUGAAUAGCUAGGGUACGGUAGAGGGAAGCGGAAUUUCCGGUGUAGCGGUGAAAUGCGUAGAUAUCGGAAGGAACAUCAGUGGCGAAAGCGGCUUCCUGGACCAGUACCGACGUUCAGGCACGAAAGCGUGGGGAGCAAACAGG
rnacentral:rRNA from 1 species